rnacentral:rRNA from 1 species
AGAGUUUGAUCAUGGCUCAGAUUGAACGCUGGCGGCAGGCCUAACACAUGCAAGUCGAACGGUAACAGGAAGCAGCUUGCUGCUUCGCUGACGAGUGGCGGACGGGUGAGUAAUGUCUGGGAAACUGCCUGAUGGAGGGGGAUAACUACUGGAAACGGUGGCUAAUACCGCAUAACGUCGCAAGACCAAAGAGGGGGACCUUCGGGCCUCUUGCCAUCAGAUGUGCCCAGAUGGGAUUAGCUUGUUGGUGAGGUAACGGCUCACCAAGGCGACGAUCCCUAGCUGGUCUGAGAGGAUGACCAGCCACACUGGAACUGAGACACGGUCCAGACUCCUACGGGAGGCAGCAGUGGGGAAUAUUGCACAAUGGGCGCAAGCCUGAUGCAGCCAUGCCGCGUGUAUGAAGAAGGCCUUCGGGUUGUAAAGUACUUUCAGCGGGGAGGAAGGUGUUGCGGUUAAUAACCGCAGCAAUUGACGUUACCCGCAGAAGAAGCACCGGCUAACUCCGUGCCAGCAGCCGCGGUAAUACGGAGGGUGCAAGCGUUAAUCGGAAUUACUGGGCGUAAAGCGCACGCAGGCGGUCUGUCAAGUCGGAUGUGAAAUCCCCGGGCUCAACCUGGGAACUGCAUUCGAAACUGGCAGGCUUGAGUCUUGUAGAGGGGGGUAGAAUUCCAGGUGUAGCGGUGAAAUGCGUAGAGAUCUGGAGGAAUACCGGUGGCGAAGGCGGCCCCUGGACAAAGACUGACGCUCAGGUGCGAAAGCGUGGGGAGCAAACAGGAUUAGAUACCCUGGUAGUCCACGCCGUAAACGAUGUCUACUUGGAGGUUGUGCCCUUGAGGCGUGGCUUCCGGAGCUAACGCGUUAAGUAGACCGCCUGGGGAGUACGGCCGCAAGGUUAAAACUCAAAUGAAUUGACGGGGGCCCGCACAAGCGGUGGAGCAUGUGGUUUAAUUCGAUGCAACGCGAAGAACCUUACCUGGUCUUGACAUCCACGGAAGUUUUCAGAGAUGAGAAUGUGCCUUCGGGAACCGUGAGACAGGUGCUGCAUGGCUGUCGUCAGCUCGUGUUGUGAAAUGUUGGGUUAAGUCCCGCAACGAGCGCAACCCUUAUCCUUUGUUGCCAGCGGUCCGGCCGGGAACUCAAAGGAGACUGCCAGUGAUAAACUGGAGGAAGGUGGGGAUGACGUCAAGUCAUCAUGGCCCUUACGACCAGGGCUACACACGUGCUACAAUGGCGCAUACAAAGAGAAGCGACCUCGCGAGAGCAAGCGGACCUCAUAAAGUGCGUCGUAGUCCGGAUUGGAGUCUGCAACUCGACUCCAUGAAGUCGGAAUCGCUAGUAAUCGUGGAUCAGAAUGCCACGGUGAAUACGUUCCCGGGCCUUGUACACACCGCCCGUCACACCAUGGGAGUGGGUUGCAAAAGAAGUAGGUAGCUUAACCUUCGGGAGGGCGCUUACCACUUUGUGAUUCAUGACUGGGGUGAAGUCGUAACAAGGUAACCGUAGGGGAACCUGCGGUUGGAUCACCU